rnacentral:lncRNA from 1 species
UUCCCUCCUCAUUUGGGGCUUGGAGCAACCCGGUCCAGUAGAAGGGAUCUCUUCCAUGGCUGGAGGGUAGAACAGGGUGGAUUUUAAGGACCCUCCCAAUGCAAACUGGUCUGGGAUUCCAUUAUUUUGAUAUAGAUGUAACAAAAUGAGGUACCUGGGUCCCAAUCCCAGGAGUAUCCCCUCCUGUAAACUGAAAUUCCCUUUGCAGAAAGCCUGUGGGAUGUAGAUGAUCCCAGCACACCUCAAGGGGUGGAGGAAAAAGCUGCUCUCAGGUGUUUUAGAGCCAGACCGACCGCCUGCUCCCCUCAGAACCGGGCUGGGAGCGAGUUCCAACUCUGCUGCAGCUCUGGGAGAGGAUUGAGCUGUGGGAAACGGAUAGGGAUGGAUCUCCUGGCCCCGGGGCUGCCAAUGACCUGGGCUGCCCCUGUAAUUUGCAUUCCUGUGGGACUCCCUGGGCCGUGCGGACAGAGCGGGAGCCGCCGAUGGAUCCAGCGCGGUGCCGGCCGUGGGCAGCUCCUGUUCCCGGGGGAGCGGGGACAGAGCGGGAGCCGCCGCUGCUGCCACUCCCGGGAGGAGCCUGGCAGGGGAAUCGGCGGGGAGGGAGCGGAGCCAUCGGCAGAAAACGGGCUGGGAACACCCGCGGCACCGGGGAUCCAUCCCGGGCUGCAAACCCACGGUACCGCCCCACCUGCUGCUUUCAGCACAGCCGGAAUUUCUGUGAGGGCAUUUCUGAAAUCGGGGCUAUCCGGGGCUGCUUUCCCUGGGCAGAUGCUGCUGUGCCGUUCCGCGGAGCUGCUGGGCACCACCCGGGUGAUCCUCGCAGGGCUGCUGGUGUCGUUCCCUCCAGCUCCGGGAGCAGCGGGAGCCGUCCACAGAGCCACUGCUGUGGGAUCCUCGGUGCUGCUCCCUGGGCCAGACAACGUCACCCACAGCAAUUCCAUGUGCUGGGAAUUCCUCAAUGGCACCGGCCCCCAGCCCAUCCUGCAGCACCAGGGCGGGCCCCACGCCCCAGCCAUCCACGCCCCCUAUGCAGGACGAGCCGUUUUCCAUCCAUCCAAUGGAUCUCUGCUGCUGCAGGAUGCCCAGGAAAGCGACAGUGGCACCUACAGAGUGACUGCCAACA